GCUUACGGCCAUACCACCCUGAGCAUGCCCGAUCUCGUCUGAUCUCGGAGGCUAAGCAGGGUAGGGCCUGGUUAGUACUUGGAUGGGAGACUGCCUGGGAGUACCAGGUGCUGUAAGCU
rnacentral:rRNA from 1 species